GACGAACGCUGGCGGCGUGCCUAAUACAUGCAAGUUGAGCGAUGAAGAUUGGUGCUUGCCCCAAUUUGAAGAGCAGCGAACGGGUGAGUAACGCGUGGGGAAUCUGCCUUUGAGCGGGGGACAACAUUUGGAAACGAAUGCUAAUACCGCAUAACAACUUUAAACAUAAGUUUUAAGUUUGAAAGAUGCAAUUGCAUCACUCAAAGAUGAUCCCGCGUUGUAUUAGCUAGUUGGUGAGGUAAAGGCUCACCAAGGCGAUGAUACAUAGCCGACCUGAGAGGGUGAUCGGCCACAUUGGGACUGAGACACGGCCCAAACUCCUACGGGAGGCAGCAGUGGGGAAUCUUCGGCAAUGGACGAAAGUCUGGCCGAGCAACGCCGCGUGAGUGAAGAAGGGUUUCGGAUCGUAAAACUCUGUUGGUAGAGAAGAACGUUGGUGAGAGUGGAAAGCUCAUCAAGUGACGGUAACUACCCAGAAAGGGACGGCUAACUACGUG
rnacentral:rRNA from 1 species